GCAGGGUGUAGCGAGUGUGGGGAAGCAGGAGCUGCGAGUGGAAAGAGGUCACGAGGAGCUGUUGUCCCCAUUUCCAGCCUCAGCAAUUCUUGGUGCCUGCACUUAUGGCCAAGUGGGUAGCCAUAAACUGGGUACCGCACCCUUCCCAGAAUGUCCGGAAUGAGGUCGAGGCAGGUGCCUGGUCCCAGCAAGGGGGCUACCAUGUCAUUGGUGACUGGCAGCUUGCUGGGCAAGCUGGAAAGGCAAUGGAGCAUGACAGGAUUGACGCCAUUCAGGUACUGGUACCCGAAGAAGUUGUCCUCACACCAGUGCUCUGUGACAUACUCUAGGGGAGCAAGAGAAGGGACCAGUAGGUCUCAAAACUACUUCCCUAGGUCCUGGUCCUGCCCAGCCCUUGUUCAUUCUUAGGUUUGUCUUCCAGCGACUCUAUGAGGUAGGUACAAUUACAUCUUCAAUUGAAUGCUAGAUACAGAGGGUCAGAGGGAUGGAGUGACUUGUCCACUUGAAUGGUAGAGCAGGGAUUUGAACCUAAGACUUUCUGAACCCAAAGCUCAGAACACCUGGUAGCAGGAGUAAGGAGGUGAACUGUGUGCCCCUGAUCAAGAUCAGAACUCCUAAAUGACCAUGAACCUAUUUGGGGAAGACAGUGUCCCUCUAUUCUCACUUCCCUAUUCUUAUGUCCUCCUCAGAGGAGAAUCUGGAGGAUAUCAUCAGUGGAACCAGGAGUUUCUCCCACUUGAAUCCAGCAGUCUCCCUGGGAGAACUGGGAGAGGACUGUGUCCCAGGAAGGGGAGGAAGAGGUCUGAAUGGGAGGUAAAUUGAAGGGUGGGCAUCCCCUGCCUAGCUCUGCACACCUGAGGUGAAGGUCUUGUGGCACCAGAAGAUUUUGUGGAUGUCAUCCAGCUUUUUCCAGGAGCCCUUGCGGUCCAGCAGCCCUCGUAUCUUCAUGCCCAAGGACCUUAAGGAUGGGGAAGAUCCUCACUGGCUCCCCUCUGCCUAAAGAACAAAGCUCCAAGUGCCAAGCCUGAGUAGUCCAUGAAGCUUCCCAUCAGUCAGUUUCAAUCAACCUUUCCAGCUUUUUCUGUGCACUAGACAAGGCCAACCAAGGCCUUGAGCUCCUGAGCUUAAGUGAUCUUCUGGCCUCAGCUUCAUAUGAGUAUCUGGGACUAUAGGCAUGGAUUACCACACCUGGCUCAAAGAUGAACAUUCUACAAUGGACUAGUAAAAGUGGAAUUGGCAAGCUGAGAGGACUUUGUGUAAAUGUGUA